rnacentral:rRNA from 1 species
UACGUAGGUGGCAAGCGUUGUCCGGAAUUAUUGGGCGUAAAGCGCGCGCAGGCGGCCUCUUAAGUCUGAUGUGAAAGCCCCCGGCUCAACCGGGGAGGGCCAUUGGAAACUGGGAGACUUGAGUAUAGGAGAGAAGAGUGGAAUUCCACGUGUAGCGGUGAAAUGCGUAGAGAUGUGGAGGAACACCAGUGGCGAAGGCGACUCUUUGGCCUAUAACUGACGCUGAGGCGCGAAAGCGUGGGGAGCAAACAGG